GUGCUCCGUGCUCCGUGUGCUCCGUACUCCGUGUGCUCCGUGCUCCGUGUGCUCCGUACUCCGUGUGCUCCGUGUGCUCCGUGCUCCGUGCUCCGUGCUCCGUGUUUUACUAAUAGCCCAAUGACCAUGAUUGCGGACUGGUACAGUUCUUAGGCCUCUUUUCCACUCAUCGCAAGAGUCAACUCGCAAGCUCGCUGCCAGCGCUUUCAUCCAAUCACAGUGCUCGACAGUUUAUUUUAAUUAGAUGCAAGCACUCGCAGCGAGCUUGCUAGUUUGUUUAUAGGUGAAAAAGAGCCUUAAAUCGACUGGUUCUUUUAUUCGGCAUUUUAAAAUGUGCGUUGGCAUGUUUAAUCAAUGUUAUGUCCUUUUAUUAUACAGUGUGUAGAAUAAUCAAAGCAGUUUGCCGCCGAUUAUGCAACUUAAUCCCAAUUCCUAUCAUCCGUAACCUAUGUCUUUCCAUCUGCAAUUUUGUAAGUACAUAUUUGACGCUUGUAACUCAUUUUCUACGAAGAAUAAAAUAUGAAAGUUUACGUCCAUAUAAAUAUUUAAAAGUAAAUCCAGUACGCUAUCUUAAUUUUUAAAUAGGUAUAAUUUCUGCAUUCAUCAUUCCACUAUAGACUUACUAGGCUUUGACGUCAGUAGCCUGUAGCAAACUAAAUUUCUAAAGGGAGCAGGACAACGUGACGGCGACCGCUGUUAAAACAAUGAAAUUCAGUUUCUUGUUUCAGUCGUUCCGGACCAUCUCAACAUUGUUUUGUCUUUAGGUUGACAAAUUUCCAAAUAGAGCCGCCUGUACAACCGCCUGCAAGAGGAUACCUUUUGCACGCGUGCAAAGGAUAUGCAUUAGAGCGUGCAAAAUUGUAAGUAAAGAGGGUUGUACAGUAUAUCAACCAUGCAGGGACUCUGUCUGGCACAGUUUGCGUGAAGGUCGGAAAGAAGAGAACCAGUGUGAUACGUUCAACAUCAGAGAAAAAUUUCAUACUUCCAUAUAAUUCUGUUUAUAAUCUCUAACGGUCCAGUUGUGUCAGUGUAUUCCCAACGAAUGGCCUUCACUUGAAACAGAUUUAUAACUGAUUAACGUUCUCAAAUAUCGUAUCUUUAUUGUGGGAUGCAGGCAAAUGUUACAAUACUGGUUUCAAAAUUCGAAUUCCUGGAGUGGGGUUCUUCUAGGGAAAUCCGUUUGUCCGCAUUUCUCGUGUUCCAUUCUCUCGUGAAGUCUUUAUAUUUUGAUUAACGCUUGAAAAACUUGUUCCGAUGGCCAAAAUGCAAAAUUUAGAGGAAUCAACUUUUCUUUAACAUUCAAUUUACACUAACAUAGAAAGAUUAAAUCAUAACCCAUUUCUUUCUCUUUCUCUAGUGCCUCCGUAACCGUUGAUUGUUACUCCAAAACCAAUUUUCCUUUUUUUUUAUCUCAAAUGUAUUUUUAAUUAACUAGUUUUGAAUUAAGAAAUGAAAUAUUUUCUUAAUAGCAAUUUGUGUAUGUACAAUUACAUCAUCUCUUGAGAUUUGUAUAUAGUCAUUCAUUUUAUGGAAAUAAAAAUUCAAGC